rnacentral:lncRNA from 1 species
CGGCGGCCCAGUCCCUUGCCCUGGGACCCCAGCCUGUAGUGUUUGGAGACCCCGGCUCCUCUUCUAUUUCUCUUGAUCUGGGGUCCGGCUGGCGAUAGUGUCCGCGGUGCGCCCCUUUCUCUUGGUCGUUUAUGACCUCCACGUCGUCUUUUCUUCAGGUGACAUCCAGAAGGCAACUAAAAAUGUGAAUCUGAAGCUCUGGAAACAGCAUCAGAUUGGAACUACAGAUUUGAGAGCCUUGAGAAUUUAUUACAUCACUCAUGAAGAACACGGUGAGAGAACAGAGAACAUUUAGGAGGGAACUGUAAGGAACAAAAACAUUUGCUGGGUGGGCAGAAGAGAGAGCCUGGGAGGAAAUAUCAGGGGCUGUGAACAAGAACCAGGGAGAAGAAACGUUCAGGGAGGAAACAGCAGUCACAAGUGACAGAGAUUGGUGGUAAAUUACAUCACCUAUGUCAGAAAGGGUCCCUUAGACCUGCCAAUUAGGAGGCUUGGGUAUCGUAGCCUUAGCUAGAAUAGUUUCAGUGGAUUGGUGGGCUAUGGACUGAAGACAGAAGGUUAAGAAGCAAAUGUAGCAAUUGUAGAACAUGGUUUCAAGAAGUGCAGCCAUGAAAACAACAGACAGAUUUCAUUUAGAAAGGCAAGGUCAAAGGAGUUUUUUUACUUUUUUUUUUUUUUUUUUUUUAGAAGAAAGGCAGCUUGGAAUCUGUAUAAAUGAAAGAGAGAGAUAGAAUGGGUAAAAAUGAUUGAUGGAAGAAUUUUGACCUACUGGGUUUGAGGUAGGAGGGGAAAACAGAAGGGUGCUCUUCUCUGAAGGUGUAAAGAUAAAUUUAGAGCGGACAGAGCAGCAAAGAGUUGAAAAGUUUUUGUCUGUUGGCCUUCAAUUUAUCCAUGAAGGAAGGAGCAACGUUAUCUGCUACAAGGACGGAGGUGGCGGGGAAAGUCUGGACUGGUUUUUAGGAGACAAGGGGUGGGGGGUGAGGGAAAGACUAUAGAUAAGAGGACAAACAGAAGGUCUGCUUUCGCAGAUCUACUAUGGUCGAAAAUUAUUUUUUCUUUCCUCCCCUCUAUCCCUUCCUAACCUAAGCUUGUCGCAAAAAAGGCUUCAAGCUGCCAAAUCCAAAUUUUUCCACCAAUAUACCCCGAUACUAGUUUUUUCUCCAAAAACAACGGGCAACUAACACGCAGGGCAGAGAAAACAAACAGUUGCCCCAGGCUUCCUUCGUUCGAAUAGUGAAGACUGAGCUGGCCUCGGCACUGUGCAGACUCCCAACCUGUGCUACUGUGGGUUAUUCUCCUUAUAGUGCAGUCACCUCCUAAAUGCUUGCUGAAAAUAAUGGAAGACUUCGAGCCAGAUGUUUGCCUCUUAAGUAACGUCCCCCAAAAGAUGCAGCACAUAUUUAAGGCCUGCUGAAGCAAGCAACGCUGACGGACCAGGUUAUUGCGUUUUUCUCUCGCUGCGUGUCCGGACGCCACACUAUGAGCAUUAAGCGCAUACUGACCAAUUUCUGUUAAGCAGGAACGUGGUGUUCUGAUCAAAACACAGGGAGCCGCGGCCGCAACCGCGCCGAUAAGCUUCCGGGGUCCCAACCCUGUAAGGCAGAACGGCUGCCCAGCUCGGAUGACGCCACACUAACGUAGCCUCCAGACCGCCCAGUGUGGGUGUGUCCAAGCUCACGUCGCCCGGCGUGGCCCCCCCGCUCCCCAAUGACGUAACUGCCCUGCAGCUUCUAGUAGCUUUUCGCAGCGUCUCCGACCGCCGGGCGCGGUGGCGCGUGCCUGUAGUCCCAGCUACUCGGGAGGCUGAGGUGGGAGGAUCGCUUGAGCCCAGGAGUUCUGGGCUGUAGUGCGCUAUGCCGAUCGGGUGUCCGCACUAAGUUCGGCAUCAAUAUGGUGACCUCCCGGGAGCGGGGGACCACCAGGUUGCCUAAGGAGGGGUGAACCGGCCCAGGUCGGAAACGGAGCAGGUCAAAACUCCCGUGCUGAUCAGUAGUGGGAUCGCGCCUGUGAAUAGCCACUGCACUCCAGCCUGAGCAACAUAGCGAGACCCCGUCUCUUUUGCCCCCCUCCCUCAUUAAGGGUACCUUUCGCGAAAGCUCACCAGUUGACGGGAUGCUUGGGGAUUUGCAACCGCCUCAUCGCUGCCCCCUACCGGCGCAUAUUCAAAACGUCUCUGCGAAAAGCUGUUAUUACCUUCGGAGCCAACAGGGGCUGCUCGUUUACCCACAGACAGUCGGAAAAAAAUGGCCGCCGGAUCACAGAGAGCAAAAAGCAGGGCUAAUCUUCCGAAGAGGAAUCCCACUACUGCCUCCUUAUAAGGGAAAAACUCCUCUCAGAGGAACCCAGAACGCCCUGUGAUGACAGAGGUGAGGGGCCAGCGUGGCAGAAUGCACCACCCUGUCUCCUCGCUUGCUUCUCUCUCCGUCGGAUUGCCAAAAAGGGAACGGCACCUAGACGCCGAAAAGUAACUGAAGCAAAGGGAGUUUAAAGAACGCGCCCAGCCGCCUGGGUCUUGAACCCAGUGUUAAUGAGAGCAAAAACCUCUGCAUCCUCCACUGAGCUGUCCUUGAGCAUGUCUCAUAAUCAUGCUUCAUUUUAAAAACAGAAAUAAGUGAGUAAGCUAUGAAAGAAGACAACCUUUAAAUUUUUCAAAAGUUCUUGGUGGUCUGUGAUUAGAAAUUUCAUCUAUAUGAAAUAACUGUUUUGGAGGGCUUACUGUUAAAUUCAGGCAUUUUAGGGCCAGUGGAAACUGGUUAAGCAUUCACAUCAGUCUUAACAUUAAUCUGAUAAUCUACUGGGAGUUUAAAGACUCUAAGCACUAAACACAGAUUUUCCUCACUGUCUAUAAAAUGAAAGAGGAAAGAAGCAUUGUACUAAAUUUUUUAUAAAGCUAAUUGUAUUCCCUUUUUUUUUUUUGAGGUAGUUCAUUGCAUUUUGAACAAGGAUAACUGUCAGAAAAGAUCCUCUUUGAAUAAAACAGGUAUCUCCCCCAUGGCUGCUUCUGGGUCUGCCCUCUGCAACCACAUGGAAUAGGUCUGAUUCCGGUUCUUCAGGACAACUUUUCAAGAAUUAAAAAAUCACCUCCAAAUGAAUGCAUUUUUACAAAAUGAAAAUAGGUAGAGAUGCUAUUUUAAAAAAAAAAAAACUUUACCUUCUCACCAACCUUAAAAUAAGAAGCAAAAUAAUUUUGGUA